UCAUUCACAAUGGGGGAAACCCUGAUGGUGCGACGCCGCGUGGGGGAAUGAAGGUCUUCGGAUUGUAAACCCCUGUCAUGUGGGAGCAAAUUAAAAAGAUAGUACCACAAGAGGAAGAGACGGCUAACUCUGUGCCAGCAGCCGCGGUAAUACAGAGGUCUCAAGCGUUGUUCGGAAUCACUGGGCGUAAAGCGUGCGUAGGCUGUUUCGUAAGUCGUGUGUGAAAGGCGCGGGCUCAACCCGCGGACGGCACAUGAUACUGCGAGACUAGAGUAAUGGAGGGGGAACCGGAAUUCUCGGUGUAGCAGUGAAAUGCGUAGAUAUCGAGAGGAACACUCGUGGCGAAGGCGGGUUCCUGGACAUUAACUGACGCUGAGGCACGAAGGCCAGGGGAGCGAAAGGGAUUAGAUACCCCUGUAGUCCUGGCAGUAAACGGUGCACGCUUGGUGUGCGGGGAAUCGACCCCCUGCGUGCCGGAGCUAACGCGUUAAGCGUGCCGCCUGGGGAGUACGGUCGCAAGAUUAAAACUCAAAGAAAUUGACGGGGACCCGCACAAGCGGUGGAGUAUGUGGUUUAAUUCGAUGCAACGCGAAGAACCUUACCUGGGCUUGACAUGUAAUGAACAACAUGUGAAAGCAUGCGACUCUUCGGAGGCGUUACACAGGUGCUGCAUGGCCGUCGUCAGCUCGUGUCGUGAGAUGUUUGGUUAAGUCCAGCAACGAGCGCAAC
rnacentral:rRNA from 1 species